rnacentral:lncRNA from 1 species
CUGGGCAUACCGAAUCUGUAAGUGUUUAUUUGUUGGUUUUGGUUUCUCUUCUUACUUUGGUUUGAUAUGAUUUUCUUCUUAUGUAAAUAUAAUGUAUGAUAUCAGACUCUGGCUUUUUAUGUGAUAUGUAACUGAAGCAUCUUAUCUGAUAACAAGUGUUGUGUUUCAAAUUAUGUUUCAAAAGUUCCUUAGGAUUUAGAGUAUAAUUUGAUUAAUGUUUGAAAUGAUUGAUCUUUUGAUUUAUGAUUACCUCUAGAAGUAUUUGUUUUCUACUACUUUGGAUACAAACAUAAACUUCUUUCUUACUGUUAGGAUGUGUGCACCUCUAGAAGAGAUUUAUUGACAUAUGUUCUGAAUUUCAUGUAUAUCCAGCCUCUUCAUACCUAAGUUAGUUAUUGAGCUAUUGUUAGUUCAUACCGUUUAGUAGUUGUCCAUAAAUAAGGUAGGUUGUUGUAUUAUGUGCACCCAGAUCUAGAAAUGUAAUUACAGAAGUUCAUUGCACAUGUUCUUUGACCACCCAUGUCUCCUCUUUCUCUUAAACCUUCCCAUUAUGUUUUGUCCACUCUUCCCCUCCUCUUUCUCUUUCUUUCUAUUUCUUGCUACCCCUCUCCGUUUCUUUCAUCUAGCUUACCCAAAUUCCAUAUCACAAUGGUAAUAAACA